AUCAAUAGGACGCAAAUUGGCCGCCGUCCAAGAUCCCCAGAACCUAAGAUCUUUUCAUCCCAGCCGCCACACCCCUCAGGCCCUCCUCACCCGCUUCCCCUUUGCUACGUCAAUCAAAUAUCAAUUUGGAGUUGUUCAAGCUUUAAUUUUCUUUCCUCUCCAUUUGUUGAUCACAAGUAUUUUUACUUUUCUCUUUAAGUUGCUAUAACCUUAGACAUUAAAGCAAUUAUCUUAUUUAUGCAUUUAUUUAUUUAUUUAUGUAGAUUAGUUCUCAUCGGUUUAAGGUAAGCAAUGGUGAUUCCAUUUAAAUUGAGAGUGAAGUUCUGUGAACUCGACAAUAAGGCAAAUAUGUGGAAUUAUUAGAGCAACAAUGAUAAGUGAGCGAUAUAUAUUGGUCAAACUACGGUACAAUUGGAGACAAUGACGGAAGAAAAAGGAGAAGAAUAUGCAGCUUUGUAUCUCAAGCAAGACACUACUAUUGUAGUUGACAUAGAAAAUUAUGUAUAGUGAAUAUUUUGAAAUGUAACUAUGUAAUUAUGUGUAACUUGAAACCUAUUUUGGAAUCUAAAUUUUUUGAUUUUUUGCUACGUUAUAGAAAUUAUUGAGUUAACAAUGCUUAUGGCAUAUUCUUCAAUUUGUAGCAAUGGAGUUUCUGUAAUCAUGACUAAACCUAUAUAUAAUUGCCCAAACUACGGUUAUAC